UACGUAGGUGGCAAGCGUUGUCCGGAAUUAUUGGGCGUAAAGCGCGCGCAGGCGGUCCUUUAAGUCUGAUGUGAAAGCCCACGGCUCAACCGUGGAGGGUCAUUGGAAACUGGGGGACUUGAGUGCAGGAGAGAAGAGUGGAAUUCCACGUGUAGCGGUGAAAUGCGUAGAGAUGUGGAGGAACACCAGUGGCGAAGGCGACUCUUUGGCCUGUAACUACGCUGAGGCGCGAAAGCGUGGGGAGCAAACGG
rnacentral:rRNA from 1 species